CUGUCAGACAGUUUUCACUUGACCUCGACCUCAUUUCAUGGAUCAGUGAUCAAGGUUAAGUUUUGGUGGUCAAGUCCAUAUCUCAGAUACUAUAAGCAAUAGGGCUAGUAUAUUCGGUGUAUGGAAGGACUGUAAGGUGUACAUGUCCAACUGGCAGGUGUCAUCUGACCUUGACCUCAUUUUCAUGGUUCAGUGGUUAUAGUUAAAUUUUUGUGUUUUUGUCUGUUUUCUCAUACUAUAUGCAAUAGGUCUACUAUAUUUGUUGUAUGGAAUGAUGGUAAGGUGUACAUGUCUAGCGGGCAGAUGUCAUGUGACCUUGACCUCAUUUUCAUGGUUCAGUGGUCAAAGUUAAGUUUUUGAGUUUUGGUCUUUUUAUCUAAUACUGUAUGCCAUAGGUCAACUAUAUUUGGUGUAUGGAAAUAUUUUAUGAUCUUUAUGUCAGUCGCGCUGGUUUUAUUUGACGGUGACCUCAUUUUCACGGUUCAUUGCACAGUGUUAAGUUUUUGUGUUUGGUCUAUUUUUCUUAAACUAUAAGUAAUGGGUCAACUAUAUAUGUUGUAUAGAAGCAUUGUUAGCUGUACAUGUCUGCCUGGCAUGGUUCAUCUGACCUUGACCUCAUUUUCAAGGUUCAUUGGUCUUUGUUUAGUUAUCUUGGUUAAUGUUAAGUUUAUG
rnacentral:lncRNA from 1 species